UGAUAUGAGGGUGAUCUGGCUGUGACAUCUGUCACUCCAUUGACCGCCAGGGUUGAUUCGGCUGAUCUGGCUGGCUAGGCGGGCCUCCCUUCCUACCUCACCACUCCAUGUACAUCACUCCCGAAGCUGCACACUUGGUUGAAGAGGACGACCUUCUCCGAUAGAGGACUGUUCAUCAGUCAGAGGUAUACGACUAUCUGUGCUUCCCUGCUGGAACCUCCAAACAAGCUCUCAAUCUGAUUGAUGAGAAUUAAGGUGUUGAACCCUUGGCCCUGGGUUUCUCACCCAUGAUGCAACUUGCUGAGCACAGGGUCUCCAUCUGCGUCCAU
rnacentral:snRNA from 1 species